CCUACGGGGGACAGCAGUGGGGGAUAUAGCACAAUGGGGGGAACCCUGAUGCAGCGACGCCGCGUGUGGGAAGACGGUCCUCUGGAUUGUAAACCACUGUCCCCAGGGACGAAAAUGACGGGACCUGGGGAGGAAGCGCCGGCUUACUACGUGCCAGCAGCCGCGGUAAUACGUAGGGAGCGAGCCUUGUCCGGAAUUACGGGGUGUAAGGGGAGCGUAGGGGGGGAUGCAAGUUGGGUGUCAAAACUACCGGCUCAACUGGUAGUCGCACUCCAAACUGCAGCUCUUGAGGGCAGGAGAGGCAGGCUGCAUUCCUAGUGUAGCGGUGAAAUGCUUAGAUCUUACGAAGAACUCCGAUUGC
rnacentral:rRNA from 1 species